GAAUUUAAUAUAAAUUUUUAAUUUUUAUUUAAUUUUUUUUUAAUAAUUUAUAUUUUAUUGGGAGGAUAAUAAAAUUUAAUUAACUUUUUAUUAUAAUAAAUUUAUUAUAUUUGAUUACAUUGAUUAAUGAGUAAUAGAAUAAAUAUAGUUUUUAUUUUAAGUUAGUAUUAAUUACCUUAGGGAUAACAGCGUAAUAAUUUUUUAAAGAUCUUAUUGAGAAUAAUGAUUGC
rnacentral:rRNA from 1 species